CCUACGGGUGGCAGCAGUGGGGAAUAUUGCGCAAUGGGCGAAAGCCUGACGCAGCGACGCCGCGUGAGGGAUGAAGGUCUUCGGAUCGUAAACCUCUGUCAGCAGGGAAGAACGGUCACUGUGCUAAUCAGCAGUGAAUUGACGGUACCUGCAAAGGAAGCACCGGCUAACGCCGUGCCAGCAGCCGCGGUAAUACGGAGGGUGCGAGAGUGAAUCGGAAGUACUGGGCGUAAAGGGUUCGGAGGUGGUAUGGCAAGUCAAGGGUGAAAGCCCGGGGCUCAACGUGGGAACUGCCUUUGAUACUGGCAACCUGGAGUGUGGGAGAGGUAAGUGGAAUUCGUGGUGUAGCGGUGAAAUGCGUAGAUAUCUGGAGGAACAUCAGUGGCGAAGGCGACUAUCUGGCACAUAACUGACGCUGAGGAGCGAAAGCGUGGGUAGCAAACAGGAUUAGAUACCCUAGUAGUC
rnacentral:rRNA from 1 species